UGCGCAGGCGGAAUGAUAAGUCAGUGGUGAAAUCCUACAGCUUAACUGUAGAACUGCCAUUGAUACUGUUGUUCUUGAGUACAUUUGUAGUGGGCGGAAUGUGUCAUGUAGCGGUGAAAUGCUUAGAGAUGACACAGAACACCGAUCGCGAAGGCAGCUCACUAAACUGUAACUGACGCUGAGGCACGAAAGCGUGGGGAUCAAACAGGAUUAGAUACCCUGGUAGUC
rnacentral:rRNA from 1 species